CGCUGGCGGCACGCCUAAUACAUGCAAGUCGAACGGAGUAGCAAUACUUAGUGGCAGACGGGUGAGUAACAUGUGGGUAUCUUCCCUUUGGUGAGGAAUAACACGAGGAAACUUGUGCUAAUACCUCAUAAGUCUUUACGGAGAAAGCUUUAUGCGCCAAUGGAUGAGCCCGCACUUGAUUAGUUUGUUGGUAGGGUAAUGGCCUACCAAGACUGUGAUCAAUAGCUGAUUUGAGAGGAUGAUCAGCCACAUUGGGACUGAGACACGGCCCAAACUCCUACGGGAGGCAGCAGUAGGGAAUCUUGCACAAUGGAGGAAACUCUGAUGCAGCGAUGCCGCGUGAGUGAAGAAGGCCCUUGGGUUGUAAAGCUCUUUCGUCGGGGAAGAAAAUGACUGUACCCGAAUAAGAAGGUCCGGCUAACUUCGUGCCAGCAGCCGCGGUAAUACGAAGGGACCUAGCGUAGUUCGGAAUUACUGGGCUUAAAGAGUUCGUAGGUGGUUAAAAAAGUUGGUGGUGAAAGCCCAGAGCUUAACUCUGGAACUGCCAUCAAAACUUUUUAGCUAGAGUUUGAUAGAGGAAAGCAGAAUUUCUAGUGUAGAGGUGAAAUUCGUAGAUAUUAGAAAGAAUACCGAUUGCGAAGGCAGCUUUCUGGAUCAUUACUGACACUGAGGAACGAAAGCAUGGGUAGCGAAGAGGAUUAGAUACCCUCGUAGUCCAUGCCGUAAACGAUGUGUGUUAGAUGUUGGAAAUUUAUUUUCAGUAUCACAGCGAAAGCAAUAAACACACCGCCUGGGGAGUACGACCGCA
rnacentral:rRNA from 1 species